GAUAAGCUUUCUUGGUGGAGAUCCUGGAAUUUCUCAUUUUUCUUUUCCCCAACAUAAGCAAGGAAGAAGUUAUAAAAAAAUUGUCCAUGAAAACUUCCCAAGUAGUAGAGGUAGGCAUGACUUCUUUCUUAAGUCGCCACUAGUGUUUGACUUCACCGUUUAACAUGAAAGCUGCAAGAGAGACUUUUUAUUCUUCGGUCAAGUCUAGUACAUAGAAGAGCUUCU
rnacentral:lncRNA from 1 species